ACCUACCUAUCUAGCACACGCAUAGUCGAAAGUAUUCAAGAAAAAAGUUAGAUAUCCCCGUCAAAGAAUUAUAAAAUUAAAAUUUUAAAAUGAUUACAAGGCUCCAUAAUUAUAGUUUAAUUAAGUUAAACCCAUUUAAGAGAAAACAGGCAAACAGUUGGACUGGAUAAUGACGAUCAGAUGAUUGGGCCUCAAUAGGAAGAAGGGGGCCCAUUGAAGCCUGAUUCAUCUAAAAAGAACAAUUUAUUCGUCAAAAGAUUCAGAGGAGGAUAUCUAGGAAGUGAAGUGGGACAUGAGCUCCAGUUUACCAAGGAAACCACUCGCGGCUUCUCAACAAAUUUGGUGGCCUCGCCUCGCGCCCCUUACUUUUUGAAUUAUAUAUAUAAGCCCCCACAAACCCUAGUUUUCUUUACUCCACUACACACAGAGAGCGAGAGUGAGAGAGAGCGAUCGAACAGGCGAGAAAAGAAGGCAUAUAUACAUAUAGCUGCUGCGGAAGUCCUGUUUUUGCUCUCUCAUUGAUACUCAUUCCAAGAAGAACAGCUUCUGCAGCAGCUGCAGGACCCAACAACACACACACACACACACACGCAAAAUGGCUCUCUCUCUCAGGCUAUAAGCUUCUUACUGCUUCACUUGCAGAUGGUCGAUCCCUCUUUUAUCAUUUGGUGAUAUGACAGCCGAGGUUAUGCAGUCGCAUCACAUGACUUGGUGUCGGCAAGCUUUGCAGGAGGAGGGUGCAGCAGAGCAGUGGUAGGGAAAGCACAAGAUCGGAGGGCUGCGAUUAAAGAAGAAGAAUCCGGGGCCUCUUGAUCUGGCAUGGAGUCCCGACUGUGUGACUGCCAACUACAGGCCCAUCAAUCAUGCAGCUGAGAAUAAAUGUUGAUGCCGUGGAACACCGAGACAUGCUGUUGAACCACAGGGCGAAGGAAGCGAGACCACACUAGCUAGAAUACAUAUGCAGGAACCCACGUGGUUUGGUUAUCAUAUUCAGAAGGAUUCUGUGCUGUUCUUGGACGUACUCUGGAACCUGUUCUGGCUAUAACUUAUCAGGCUAUUGAAUUUAUUUAUUUUUUCUCUCUUCGUUAUCAAAGGCAAUGAGUGACUUUGCAUUCAUGGUGCAUAUUAGGCAGCUGAUCGUGAUGAACUGGUUACUCCUUAUUUUGGAUAAGAAUAAUAAUGCAAGUCUGUCUUUUGUUA